AAUAGAGGUAUACCAGAAGUAACAGC
rnacentral:sRNA from 1 species